AUUGAACGCUGGCGGCAGGCCUAACACAUGCAAGUCGAGCGGAGCGGCUGGCGGGUGAGUAAUGCCUAGGAAUCUGCCUGGCAGUGUGGGAUAACGUCCGGAAACGGACGCUAAUACCGCAUACUAUCAGAUGAGCCUAGGUCGGAUUAGCUAGUUGUUGGGGUAAAGGCCUACCUAGGCGACGAUCCGUAACUGUUCUGAGAGGAUGAUCAGUCACACGGGAACUGAGAUAAUGUCCAGACUCUUACGGGAGUCAGCAGUGGGUAAUAUUGGACAAUGGGCGAAAGCCUGAUCCAGCCAUGCCGCGUGUGUGAAGAAGGUCUUCGGAUUGUAAAGCACGUUAAGUUGGGAGGCGUUACCAACAGAAUAAGCACCGGCUAACUCCGUGCCAGCAGCCGCGGUAAUUC
rnacentral:rRNA from 1 species